rnacentral:rRNA from 1 species
GUGAGGAAUAUUGGUCAAUGGGCGAGAGCCUGAACCAGCCAAGUCGCGUGAAGGAUGAAGGUUUUAUGAAUUGUAAACUUCUUUUGCAGGGGAAUAAAGUACGGUACGUGUACCGUUUUGUAUGUACUCUGCGAAUAAGGAUCGGCUAACUCCGUGCCAGCAGCCGCGGUAAUACGGAGGAUCCAAGCGUUAUCCGGAUUUAUUGGGUUUAAAGGGUGCGCAGGCGGGUUGAUAAGUCAGCGGUGAAAGUUUGCAGCUUAACUGUAAAAUUGCCGUUGAAACUGUCGAUCUUGAGUGCAAAUGAGGUAAGCGGAAUGUGUUGUGUAGCGGUGAAAUGCUUAGAUAUAACACAGAACACCGAUUGCGAAGGCAGCUUACUGGGAUGCAACUGACGCUCAUGCACGAAAGCGUGGGGAUCAAACAGGAUUAGAUACCCUUGUAGUCC